rnacentral:rRNA from 1 species
CACGUAGUUAGCCGGAGCUUAUUCUACAGGUACUGUCUUUUUUCUUCCCUGUCUAAAAUAGUUUACAAUCCGAAAACCUUCUUCCUAUACGCGGUGUCACUGCAUCAGAGUUUCCUCCAUUGUGCAAUAUUCCCGACUGCUGCCUCCCGUAGGAGUCUGGACCGUAUCUCAGUCCCAAUGUGGCCGUUGAGCCUCUCAGCUCGGCUACCGAUCGUUGCCUUGGUAGGCCUUUACCCCACCAACUAGCUAAUCGGACGCAAGCCCAUCUAUUAGCGGAUUUCUCCUUUUCUGACUAUACCAUGCGGUAUUGUCAGCUUAUGCGGUAUUAGCAGUGAUUUCUCACUGUUAUUCCCCUCUAAUAGGCAGGUUGCUUACGUGUUACUCACCAGUCCGCCACUAAAAUCAUUGUUAUUAACUUAUUUCAGAUAAAUCUUAUUUCCAUUAAUAACGAUUUCCGUUCGACUCGCAUGUCUUAUGUGCACCGCCAGCGUUAAUCCUGACGCCAG